AAGAUACAUGUUUCUGCGCGGGAGAGAAGCUGAGACUACCGAGCACGACGAGUCGUCGAUAGCUUAGCAAGAAGCUGUCCGUCUAUUAUACCACUGACGAGGUAUUGUUACGUCAGUGCUGGUAUCAUAGUAAAGAAAAACAGUGCCGUAUCUAUUGUAUUUUUACGGGAUCAAAUCUGUCUGUAAUAUUAAUAGCGUUUGCUUAUCCAUCUCUGCUGCACUGAACUUCUAACGCUACGGACAGGGUACAGAUUUUCGUCUUACAGAUUCAGAAAGCAAGCGAUAUAAUAACAACAAGGAAUGGUUCAAACUAUAUAUAUAAUUAUAUAAAAAAAGUUUUAUCACAGAUUAGGCUCCAACGAGCAAUCAGCAAUUUAAUAUAAUUUUAUUAAAAUUGAAAUAAUUAAUUUUACAGUUUUAUAUGUCGAUGUUAACGUUUCUUUAUAAAAAAUUUAGUUUAAAAACUCAUAUAGAAAAUUUAUAUUACUUUACAUAUAAUUGAAUCAAAUCAAUGAUUGCAAUACUGUGAAAAAUACGUAGAAGUGCAAACUGGAUUUGCGUAAAAUUACACAGUUUCCAUCUUAAUAAACAUAUUAUGUUGUGUAAAUCGCAGUUAAAGAAUGAUGCAUAAAAUAUUUUUCCUGAUGUCCGUACUUGAAUAAUUAUUUUCUGAGAUAGAUUUUUUGAUUACAUCAUACAUUUACAUCAAUAUAAAUAUAUAAUGUAGGUGAAAAUCUCUUCAUUAUUUACUC